GAAUAUUGCACAAUGGGCGAAAGCUUGAUGCAGCCACGCCGCGUGAGUGAUGAAGGCCUUCGGGUCGUAAAACUCUGUCCUCAAGGAAGAUAAUGACGGUACUUGAGGAGGAACCCCCGGCUAACUACGCGCCCGCAGCCGCGGUAAUACGUAGGGGGCUAGCGUUAGCCGGAUUUACUGGGCGUAAAGGGUGCGUAGGUGGUUUCUUAAGUCAGAAGUGAAAGGCUACGGCUUAACCGUAGUAAGCUUUUGAAACUGGGAAACUUGAGUGAAGGAGAGGAAAGUGGAAUUCCUAGUGUAGCGGUGAAAUGCGUAGAUAUUAGGAGGAACACCAGUAGCGAAGGCGGCUUUCUGGACUGUAACUGACACUGAGGCACGAAAGCGUGGGGAGCAAACA
rnacentral:rRNA from 1 species